rnacentral:rRNA from 1 species
AAAGGUGAAAAGUACCCCGGAAGGGGAGUGAAAGAGAACUUGAAACCGUGUGCUUACAAGUAGUCAGAGCCCGUUAAUGGGUGAUGGCGUGCCUUUUGUAGAAUGAACCGGCGAGUUACGAUCUGAUGCAAGGUUAAGCAGAAAAUGUGGAGCCGUAGCGAAAGCGAGUCUGAAUAGGGCGAAUGAGUAUUUGGUCGUAGACCCGAAACCAGGUGAUCUACCCUUGGUCAGGUUGAAGUUCAGGUAACACUGAAUGGAGGACCGAACCGACUUACGUUGAAAAGUGAGCGGAUGAACUGAGGGUAGCGGAGAAAUUCCAAUCGAACUUGGAGAUAGCUGGUUCUCUCCGAAAUAGCUUUAGGGCUAGCCUCAAGUGAUGAUUAUUGGAGGUAGAGCACUGUUUGGACGAGGGGCCCCUCUCGGGUUACCGAAUUCAGACAAACUCCGAAUGCCAAAUAAUUUAACUUGGGAGUCAGAAUGUGGGUGAUAAGGUCCAUAUUCGAAAGGGAAACAGCCCAGACCACCAGCUAAGGUCCCAAAAUAUAUGUUAAGUGGAAAAGGAUGUGGCGUUGCCCAGACAACUAGGAUGUUGGCUUAGAAGCAGCCAUCAUUUAAAGAGUGCGUAAUAGCUCACUAGUCGAGUGACACUGCGCCGAAAAUGUACCGGGGCUAAACAUAUUACCGAAGCUGUGGAUUGUCCUUUGGACAAUGGUAGGAGAGCGUUCUAAGGGCGUUGAAGCAUGAUCGCAAGGACAUGUGGAGCGCUUAGAAGUGAGAAUGCCGGUGUGAGUAGCGAAAGACGGGUGAGAAUCCCGUCCACCGAUUGACUAAGGUUUCCAGAGGAAGGCUCGUCCGCUCUGGGUUAGUCGGGUCCUAAGCUGAGGCCGACAGGCGUAGGCGAUGGAUAACAGG